rnacentral:rRNA from 1 species
CGCUGGCGGCGUGCCUAACACAUGCAAGUCGAACGGGGAUUUGUUUCGGCAGAAUCCUAGUGGCGAACGGGUGAGUAACGCGUAGGCAACCUGCCCUCCGGCCGGGGGACAACACUCCGAAAGGGGUGCUAAUACCGGAUACGAAGUCUGUGCCGCAUGGUACGGAUUUGAAAGAUGGCCUCUGUUUACAAGCUAUCGCCGGGGGAUGGGCCUGCGUCCGAUUAGCUGGUUGGUGGGGUAACGGCCUACCAAGGCGACGAUCGGUAGCCGGUCUGAGAGGAUGAACGGCCACAUUGGGACUGAGACACGGCCCAGACUCCUACGGGAGGCAGCAGUGGGGAAUCUUCCGCAAUGGGCGCAAGCCUGACGGAGCAACGCCGCGUGAGUGAGGAAGUUCUUCGGAACGUAAAGCUCUGUUGUUCCUGACGAACCUCCCCUCUAUCAACAACGGAGGGGACUGACGGUAGGGAACGAGGAAGCCACGGCUAACUACGUGCCAGCCGCUGC